rnacentral:rRNA from 1 species
GAUGCGUAGGGGUUCUGAGAGGAAGGUCCCCCACCCUGGUACUGAGACACGGACCAGACUCCUACGGGAGGCAGCAGUGAGGAAUAUUGGUCAAUGGGCGGGAGCCUGAACCAGCCAAGUCGCGUGAGGGAAGACGGUCCUAUGGAUUGUAAACCUCUUUUGCCGGGGAGCAACGGGGUCCUUGCGAGGGCCUAAUGAGAGUACCCGGAGAAAAAGCAUCGGCUAACUCCGUGCCAGCAGCCGCGGUAAUACGGAGGAUGCGAGCGUUAUCCGGAUUUAUUGGGUUUAAAGGGUGCGUAGGCGGGCUGUUAAGUCAGCGGUCAAAUGUCGGGGCUCAACCCCGGCCUGCCGUUGAAACUGGUGGCCUCGAGUGGGCGAGAAGUAUGCGGAAUGCGUGGUGUAGCGGUGAAAUGCAUAGAUAUCACGCAGAACUCCGAUUGCGAAGGCAGCAUACCGGCGCCCGACUGACGCUGAGGCACGAAAGCGUGGGUAUCGAACAGGAUUAGAUACCCUGGUAGUCCACGCAGUAAACGAUGAAUGCUAGCUGUCCGGGGCUUCGGUCCUGG